GGGGAAUCUUGCGCAAUGGGCGAAAGCCUGACGCAGCCAUGCCGCGUGAAUGAUGAAGGUCUUAGGAUUGUAAAAUUCUUUCACCGGGGACGAUAAUGACGGUACCCGGAGAAGAAGCCCCGGCUAACUUCGUGCCAGCAGCCGCGGUAAUACGAAGGGGGCUAGCGUUGCUCGGAAUUACUGGGCGUAAAGGGCGCGUAGGCGGAUCGUUAAGUCAGGGGUGAAAUCCCGGGGCUCAACCUCGGAACUGCCCUUGAUACUGGCGAUCUUGAGUAUGAGAGAGGUAUGUGGAACUCCGAGUGUAGAGGUGAAAUUCGUAGAUAUUCGGAAGAACACCAGUGGCGAAGGCGACAUACUGGCUCAUUACUGACGCUGAGGCGCGAAAGCGUGGGGAGCAAAC
rnacentral:rRNA from 1 species